GAUGAACGCUAGCGGCAGGCCUAAUACAUGCAAGUCGAGGGAGAAUGUUGGAUUCGUCUGACAUGAAACCGGCGCACGGGUGCGUAACACGUAUGCAACCUACCUUUAACUGGGGUAUAGCUCAGAGAAAUCUGAAUUAAUCCCCCAUAAGACUACGACAUGGCAUCAUGAUGUAGUUAAAGCUCCGGCGGUUAAGGAUGGGCAUGCGGUACAUUAGCUAGUUGGUGAGGUAAUGGCUCACCAAGGCUACGAUGUAUAGGGGGUCUGAGAGGAUGAUCCCCCACACUGGUGCUGGGACACGGACCAGACUCCUACGGGAGGCAGCAGUAGGGAAUAUUGGUCAAUGGACGCAAGUCUGAACCAGCCAUGCCGCGUGAAGGAUGAAGGCCCUAUGGGUCGUAAACUUCUUUUAUUAGGGAAGAAAAAACGGGAUGCGUCCUGUACUGACGGUACUUAAUGAAUAAGGAUCGGCUAACUUCGUGCCAGCAGCCGCCGUAA
rnacentral:rRNA from 1 species